UUUUAUGGAGAGUUUGAUCCUGGCUCAGGAUGAACGCUGGCGGCGUGCCUAAUACAUGCAAGUCGAGCGAACAGACGAGGAGCUUGCUCCUUUGACGUUAGCGGCGGACGGGUGAGUAACACGUAGGUAACCUACCUAUAAGACUGGGAUAACUUCGGGAAACCGGAGCUAAUACCGGAUAAUAUUUCGAACCGCAUGGUUCGAUAGUGAAAGAUGGCUUUGCUAUCACUUAUAGAUGGACCUGCGCCGUAUUAGCUAGUUGGUAAGGUAACGGCUUACCAAGGCAACGAUACGUAGCCGACCUGAGAGGGUGAUCGGCCACACUGGAACUGAGACACGGUCCAGACUCCUACGGGAGGCAGCAGCAGGGAAUCUUCAGC
rnacentral:rRNA from 1 species